rnacentral:rRNA from 1 species
UACGUAGGGUGCGAGCGUUAAUCGGAAUUACUGGGCGUAAAGCGUGCGCAGGCGGUUUUGUAAGCCAGAUGUGAAAGCCCCGGGCUUAACCUGGGAAUGGCAUUUGGGACUGCAAGGCUAGAGUGCGGCAGAGGAGACUGGAAUUCCUGGUGUAGCAGUGAAAUGCGUAGAUAUCAGGAGGAAUACCGAUGGCGAAGGCAGGUCUCUGGGCUGACACUGAUGCUCAUGCACGAAAGCGUGGGGAGCAAACAGG